GGGGGCAUGGUUUGUGAUAUCUUUCGACCAAUGAGCGUUCGUUCUUUUGGAUAGGAGUGGGGGUGAAUAUCGCAAAUCUGGUCAUCGAACAAGGAGCACACCACUAAUGAAACAAUUCCAGAAUGAUUGGAAUGACACUUUAAAUAGUAUUACUUUCCAGUUCAGUUAUCGAACAGGGGGCACAUCAUCGAUGAACCACUUCAAGGAUUGUCAAGAGGAGAUCUCCUAGGAAAUCCGAGGUUCCUUGGAUAUUCCGUAAUACGAGAGAAGGAACUAAACUUACCCUGCCACAAACGAGUGAGUGUUUUUAUACUUUGAGAUAGUAAUAUUAUUAAAGGAGACGAAAGUACCAAAAUGUAUUCAAGGUGUUCGAUGUCAUCAGUAAGUAGUUAUUUGUAG
rnacentral:misc_RNA from 1 species